UACAGAGGUCCCAAGCGUUGUUCGGAUUCACUGGGCGUAAAGGGUGCGUAGGUGGCCGGGAAAGUUUGGUGUGAAAGCUCGGAGCUUAACUCCGAAAUGGCACUGAAUACUACUGUGCUGGAGGUUUGGAGGGGGGACUGGAAUUCUUGGUGUAGCAGUGAAAUGCGUAGAUAUCAAGAGGAACACCAGUGGCGAAGGCGAGUCCCUGGACAACACCUGACACUGAGGCACGAAAGCUAGGGGAGCAAACAGG
rnacentral:rRNA from 1 species